UGUUUAUCAGUUGUGCAAAGUGGAGCAGCGCUGGAGAAUCACAAGGGAGAACUGAUCAUUGCCUAUGCAUGGAAGCGUUGUAGGAAGAUUAAAAUAACAUUGAGUAUAUUCUGUAAAUGAAGGAGAGAACUAAAAGAAGCCUCCAGAGUCCAUUAUAAAUUUUAAUAAUACAUCAAGGUUUCACCUGGAAGCUUCGUGCUGAUUAGACGUCUCAUGUAGUGAAUGCCCAUGAAAAUGAGCUGUUUCUAGCCUUUGAAGAGAAUGCAAAGGACUGUUUAGGCAAUCUGACUUGCUGGAAAUAACUCCGUGUAAGCAGGGAACUAUGGAACUUGGAGAAAAAAAUACCUGGUGAAGAGGAAGAAAUGUUCUGGUCUCAGCCCAAAAAGGUGACAACUGAAGAGCUUGGAAG